CCCCCCCACCCUACCCCCGCCCGAUCAUACCUGGGACCUACGCUUAAGCAAAUUAUGUAUUUAUGAGGGUACAUCAGAAAUACUGAUGACCUGAACUUCAAACUUCUGAAAAAUAAGCUUGUUUCUUGAAAUAAAUUAGGUUAGAUCUAUUUUAGUGUCAAUAUUUUGUUGUUGUUGUUGUUGUUGUAGUAUUUCAUUAUGUAAAGCUGAUUUCGUAGCGAUAGGUUCGAAUCUAUAUUUUGCCAUUAUAAUUUCGUUUAUUUCAAUUUAAGUUGUCGAAUAUACUGUAACAUCAUUGAACAUAAAUAUUUUUUCGUAAAUUUACUUCGAGUAUCUCCUUCUUAAAAAGAAACGUUGAUUCGGAUGUAGGCCUACUGACACCUGAAUAUCUGCAUGCGCGCCGAAUGUUUACAAAGUCCGUUAGUAUUUUUGGUGUCUCUCGGUGAUACUGUUACACAUUAGAACAACUGAAUAAAAUCUCCUUUCAAUUAACUAUCGAUAUAUCUGGUGUUUUACGUAAGACUGAGGUAAGUACAUAUAAAUUAAUACUUAUAUAUCUAGAUUAUUCUUGAAUUCAUUUUGGCGCAAAGUUAUCCCAAGAUUUGGGCCAAGUCAAGAUUUUGUUGCAGAUCAAAUAGCCUACAUAUGCGUUCGUUAACAGCAACAUGAAAUUUAUUCAGUAAAAACCCUAAAGUCUAGUUUCUGUAAAGAAAAAAAAACGAAUGCAAAUUGCUGCCAUACCCCACCCACUUCUGUUAAACAAGAAACUUUCCAUAUAAUAUUCAGCACUGGUAAAGGUAAAGGUAAGUUUUAUUUACCAUCGCUUGGUGAAACAAUUAACAUAAGCUCUCUAGAGCUUUUCUGCGACCCUAUAUUAAGAACAGUUAAAACCAAUUAUACCUCACCCCCUGCAAUUUGCUGGUACCCAUUUACAGCUGGGUCGACUGAGGCAGUCGUGAUAAAGUGCCUUGCCCAAGGACACACCGCAGUGGGAGUAGCCAGGAUUCGAACCAGGGGCCUUCGCCUCCGUAGGAAAGCGUCUUAGCCCUCUCGACCAGUGCGUCCGCAACUAUUUAAUUUCUGUUUCGAAGUCUUUCAGUGCUUUCACGGGAUCUACUUUUCAGAUUAUAUUUACAGCACAACAGCGGAUGUUAAGUGCUGUGUGGCGGCCAUAAAAGUUGCCCCGACUUCAUCUCAGUGUUGAUGUAUUUUCUGGUCCUUCGGGAUCAUUGAUAUCAACUCAUUUAGAUUUGAAGAUUGAUUACUGCUUAAGCCGGUGAUAGGGGGAGUGGGCAGUGUUACAUUAUCCAUAACUGCUCAUGAACAGACUCAAUCAAACUGAGUCUGCAAUUUUCACUGUUUGUUAAAAUUGUUUUGUUCUCGGUGCUUCCAAGGGAUCUACUUUUCAGAUUAUAUUUAUAUUUUUAACUAUAUAAGUAUUAAAUCAGAGCUUCAGAUAAGCUGCGUACUUACGAAAAUAAAUUUUCAGAAAACCUGAUUGAAUUAAUAAAAUUAACACAAGGAUGUAUCUAGCCGUCUGGGUUACCGAAUGCCUAGUCUGAGAUUUAGCCGAUCUGAGAUCCCUUUACCAGACGGCUAGCAAAUCCUCAAGGAUUUUCUAACCAUCCGGUAAUAGAUUUCCUAAUGAAUAAGUAAUGAUACCUGUUAUUUACUGAAAAAAAUACAGAUGUCGAUACUCGUCUGCAAACAAAACUUUGUGUGAAUACAUACUACAGAUUUACUUUUAAUCGUGCAUGUAGAUACGAAGACUUGCAUGUCAGUACUGAGGUCAUAUUAUAAACUCAUUCUAGUGUGAAAGCUAAGUCAGGUUUCUUUGUAAAUCUUCAGGACUUUUUACAUGGAGAGGUGGCGAUUAACUUAAAUGGUAUGAUCCUCAUGCCAAGUGGGACAGGAGAGGUCAUACAAAUGCAUGUAAAUAACGAAACUUGCAUGUCAAUUCUAGGUGCAUCAAACAUAGGAAACUAACUAAAGUCUGAAAGGCAGCCCGCCCGCUUAGCUCAGUAGGUAGAGCAUUGGUCUACGGAUCGCGGGGUCGUGAGUUCGAUCCUCGGGCGGGGCGUAUGUUCUCCGUGACUAUUUGAUAAACGACAUUGUGUCUGAAAUCAUUAGUCCUCCACCACUGAUUUAUGUGGGGAAGUUGGCAGUUACUUGCGGAGAACAGGUUUGUACUGGUACAGAAUCCAGGAACACUGGUUAGGUUAACUGCCCGCCGUUACAUGACUGAAAUACUGUUGAAAAACGGCGUUAAACCCAAAACAAACAAACAAACAAACAAACAAAAGUCUGAAAGCUAUCUCAUGUUCCUUUGUCAAUCCUCAGACCUGUUUACAUGGAGAGGUGGCAGAUACCUGAAAUGGUUCGAUCCUCAUGCCAAGUAGGACAGGAGAGGUGGUACAUAUGCAUGUAGAUACCAAGACUUGCAUUUAUAAUGUAAAUACCUAAGUACGUCAUACAUAGUAAAACCAAUUCAAAUCUGGAAGAUAUCUCAUGUUUCUUUGUCAAUCCUCAAGUCUGUUUACAUGGAGAGGUGGCGAAUACCUUAAUUGGUCCGAUCCUCAUGCCAAGUAGGACAGGAGAGGUGGUACAAAUGCAUGUAGAUACCAAGAUUUGCAUGUCACUACUUAGUAUGUCAUUGUAAACUAAUUCAAGUCUGAAAGCUACAGUAAAACCAAUUCAAAUCUGGAAGAUAUCUCGUGUUUCUUUGUCAAUCCUCAGGCCUGUUUACAUGGAGAGGUGGCGAAUACCUUAAUUGGUCCGAUCCUCAUGCCAAGUAGGACAGGAGAGGUGGUACAAAUGCAUGUAGAUAACAAGAUUUGCAUGUCACUACUUAGUAUGUUAUAGUAAACUAAUUCAAGUCUGAAAGCUAUAGUAGAACCAAUUCAAAUCUGGAAGAUAUCUCGUGUUUCUUUGUCAAUCCUCAGGCCUGUUUACAUGGAGAGGUGGCGAAUACCUUAAUUGGUCCGAUCCUCAUGCCAAGUAGGACAGGAGAGGUGGUACAAAUGCAUGUAGAUACCAAGAUUUGCAUGUCACUACUUAGUAUGUCAUUGUAAACUAAUUCAAGUCUGAAAGCUACAGUAAAACCAAUUCAAAUCUGGAGAUAUCUCGUGUUUCUUAGUCAAUCCUCAGGCCUGUUUACAUGGAGAGGUGGCGAAUACCUUAAUUGGUCCGAUCCUCAUGCCAAGUAGGACAGGAGAGGUGGUACAAAUGCAUGUAGAUAACAAGAUUUGCAUGUCACUACUUAGUAUGUUAUAGUAAACUAAUUCAAGUCUGAAAGCUAUAGUAGAACCAAUUCAAAUCUGGAAGAUAUCUCGUGUUUCUUUGUCAAUCCUCAGGCCUGUUUGCAUGGAGAGGUGGCGAAUACCUUAAUUGGUCUGAUCCUCAUGCCAAGUAGGACAGGAGAGGUGGUACAAAUGCAUGUAGAUACCAAGAUUUGCAUGUCACUAUUUAGUAUGUCAUUGUAAACUAAUUCCAAGUCUGAAAGCUACAGUAAAACCAAUUCAAAUCUGGAAGAUAUCUCGUGUUUCAUUGUCAAUCCUCAGGCCUGUUUACAUGGAGAGGUGGCGAAUACCUUAAUUGGUCCGAUCCUCAUGCCAAGUAGGACAGGAGAGGUGGUACAAAUGCAUGUAGAUACCAAGAUUUGCAUGUCAGUACUUAGUAUGUCAUUGUAAACUAAUUCCAAGUCUGAAAGCUACUGUAAAACCAAUUCAAAUCUGGAAGAUAUCUCGUGUUUCUUUGUCAAUCCUCAGGCCUGUUUACAUGGAGAGUUGGCGAAUACCUUAAUUGGUCCGAUCCUCAUGCCAAGUAGGACAGGAGAGGUGGUACAAAUGCAUGUAGAUACCAAGAUUUGCAUGUCACUACUUAGUAUGUCAUAGUAAACUAAUUCAAGUCUGAAAGCUAUAUAGUAGAACCAAUUCAAAUCUGGAAGAUAUCUCGUGUUUCUUUGUCAAUCCUCAGGCCUGUUUACAUGGAGAGGUGGCGAAUACCUUAAUUGGUCCGAUCCUCAUGCCAAGUAGGACAGGAGAGGUGGUACAAAUGCAUGUAGAUACCAAGAUUAGUCACUACUUAGUAUGUCAUAGUAAACUAAUUCAAGCCUGAAAGCCAUUACAUGUUUCUUUUGUCAAUCCUCGGGCCUGUUUACAUGGAGAGGUGGCGAAUACAAUGUACCUUAAAUGGUAUGAUCCUUGUGCAAAGUAGAACUAAGAAGAGGUGGUACAAAUGCAUUAGAUACCAAGACUUGCAUGAUGUAAGUACUCAAAGUACUUCAUACAAUAUAGUAAAACUAAUUAAUUUAUUUGGGUUUUACAGCACACCAACACAGUAUAGGUUAAAAAAAACCAAUUCAAUUCAAAUCUGAAAGCUAUCUCAUGUUUCUUUGUCAAUCCUCAGGCCUGUUUACAUGGAGAGGUGGCAAAUACCUUAAAUGGUUCGAUCCUCAUGCCAAGUAGGACAGGAGAGGUGGUACAAAUGCAUGUAGAUACCAAGACUUGCAGGAUGUAAAUACCUAAGUUUGUCAUACGUAGUAAAAACCAGUUCAAAUCUCGUGUUUCUUUGUCAGUCCUCAGGCCUGUUUACAUGGAGAGGUGGCGAAUACCUUAAAUGUUACGAUCCUCGUGCCAAGUAGGAUAGAUUAGGAGAGGUGGUACAAAUGCAUGUAGAUACCAAGACUUGCAUGAUGUAAAUAUUUAAGUAUGUCAUACAUAGUAAAACCAGUUCAAAUCUGAAAGCUAUCUCAUGUUUCUUUGUCAGUCUUCAGGCCUGUUCACACGGAGAGGUGGCGAAUACCUUAAUUGGUAUGAUCCUCAUGUCAAGUGAGACAUGAGAGAUGGUAUAAAUGCAUGUAGAUACCAAGCUUUGCAUGAUGUAAAUUCUUAAGUUAAAUUCUUAAGGUACAGUUAUGUCUCCUAAACUGCUCUCUAAAUUUUCAAAUAAUUUUACAUGCACAUCACCAUCAUGAGCGCAAGGAACACGUGCAUUUACAUGUUACUUUGACCUUCACCUUGACUUGAGAUACUUUUUAAAGUCAGUUUCUUCAGAAAAUAAGCAAUUUAGGUGCCAUACGAUAUGGAGGUAUUCAUCACCUUCAGUGAUAGCUCUAGUUAUUUAAAUUUUAAAGGUUUAAUGACUGAAAUUGAAUCAUUUGAUACCAUUAAUGGCAUAAAAAGUUUAUUCAAUGAGUACUGUCUUGUUCUUAUAAUGCGAUCUACUUUUGUCAAUACGAUUGCUGUAGAACUGAUUGGACCUACAUAUUUACAAUAGUUUAACUGUUGUUCUGUUUCCUUUUUACAGUCCCAAUAUUAUUGCACAUUCGGUCGCAAAGAUGUUGACACCACAUGUCGUCUGAUGAUGACUUUUACGGGAUCGAAUAAGGUUUGGUCAUUGUAUUCCCUGAAAGGAAUGAGAGGAGAAAAGGAACUGGAAGACCUGGCUAUCUGCAGGCCAAUGCUGGCUGCAGGUCAAUAUUGAAUGCUCUUAUGAAAACUCAUAAGACAAUAACUAAAAAAAGAAGCUGAGGAUGCUGUUUUUAAAACAUGCUCCAUUCAAAAAAGGUGGAUUGAAAUUUAAGAAAGGUGUGACGGGUGCGUCUGCUGCAGGCAGGGAGGAUUUGACGGUCAGCCAGAGGAUUUGGAGAUAUACUGUAAUGUCUUUAAUGUGGACUUGCGUGUGAUUUAAGUUUUGACAAGGGUUUUAGUGUGUGUGAAAGUGUCAGUUUUCAAAAUUGAGCUAUGUCAAUUUGCUCAAACUACAUAACUCAAAGAACUUUGAAGCGGUCUUGUUGACGUCAUGAGCUUUUGUUUAAUACCAGUAUUGGUGAUAAAGGCCCAUGAUUAUAUACUGUAGAAAGUGAACAAGUUCACUGCUCAAUACAGAUAGUCAUAUAGCCUGAUCUCUGAAUGAUAUUUAUGAACCAAAAGAAGGCAUAAAAUAAAAACAUACAGUAGUGAUUUGAAUUAUUGAUAUUGUUAAACUAGAUCUGGGCCAGUAUUCAUAAAGGAUCUUAGUAAAAAAAAUUAUCUAGAACUUAAUAUUCUUUGAACAGUCAAGUCAAAAACUUUUCACGCUCUAAAUAUUUCACAGCAUGACUCCAAACUUGUAUAUUAUACCAAAGAAAAAUAGAUUGGCAACUUGAAAGGCGUAUAGAGCAAAUCUCCCCAACAUCACAUGGCAACUGAAUGAGGUCUCCUUUUAGUAAGCAUAUUUGAUCACAAUUGAUCAAGUCAGCAAAUGCUUUGAAAUAAGAAAACUUGAUUGUUUGUGUAUAAUGCUAAUGGUACCUUUUUAAUAAUGUUACUAGUAUUUUCUACACAGGAAAGCAAUGAAUUUUUGAUUGGAAGUCUGAGAAAUCAACAGUUGUUGAAAAAUGGACUCGAUUCGGUUUAUUACGCGCCAGUGUAACAUUAAAUACUGACCACGUUGAAAAUUGACCCCAUAGAUCCUUUUCAACGUUGAGAAUUGACCCGUCAACAUUUCAACAUCAAAUUUUGAUCAAAGGGUCCUUUUUCAACGUUGAGAAUUGACCCCGUCAACAUUUCAGCAUUAAAUUUUGAUCAAAAGAUCCUUUUUCAACAUUGAGAAAUGGCCCCACCAACAUUUCAACAUUAAAUUUUGAUCAAUGGGGUCAAUAUUUAAUGUUACACCGGCUGUACCGCCAGUUUAAUACUUCAGUAAGCAUCUGUUGAUUUGAUCACGACUGAUCAAAUCGGCAAACACUUUGAAAUAAUAUAACGCGCCAAGGUCAAUGUCACCAAGGUGUUAUAGUGACGUCUUUGGUUAUUUUUAAGGUUAAAGUUUUUCAGCAACCUUUGUUUUUCUGUCAUAGCUUUGUUAUUAUUGCUUAUAUCUUUCUGUAACUUUACAUAAACAUUGUCCAGCAUACAAACAAAGUAUGUACAGGGGGUCGGCCCAUUAUACCCAAGGUCAAGGUCACCAAGGUGUUAUACUUAGGUUAAGGUCACAAACUUGUUAUACUUGGAAUUAUUUUCAUGUUAAAUUUUUUGGAAAGCUUCGUUUAUAGACAUACCUUUGGUACUUUAAAAGAUAGUGACCACUUUAUCAUCAUCAUCUGCAUGUGUGGUAGCAAUCCCAAUAACUCUAAUAUGUGUUCUUGACAGAAUUAUGCCCCUUGAUGUAUCUUCCUUCUAAAGUAGAGGUCUCCUAUUGAGACAUAUAUUCAUUUUACUGUCAAAUCACCGAAUAGUGGAGCGCGCUGUCUUACGGACAGCUCUUGUUGUUGAGACCCUUAGAGAAUUUCAAAUUUGUUGUCGCAUAUCUUCACUCUGAUGUGUUGCACACAAGUCGCAUCCAUAUAACCAUGGUCAAGGUCACACUUUGGUCAAAGGUCAAAAGAGAGUUUAUUCUAACACAUUCUUUGUUUAUUCUUUUACUAUUUUUUAUCAGAAAAUCAAAUUAUUGAUCGUCUGCGUUACUUAAAUUUUGUUUUUCUCAAAAACUGUCAAAGGUAACCAUUUGAAACUUGAAAAACUUGUUCACUUUUACACAUUUUUAUACGCCCAAAGGGACGUAUUAUGUUAUGACGCCGGUGUCCGUCUGUCCGUCCGUUAGCAAUUUCGUGUCCGCUCUGUAACUCUUGGACCCCUUGAAGGAUUUCAAAGAAAUUUGACACAAAUGUUCACCACAUGGAGACGACGUGCAGAGCGCUUGUUUUGGAUGACUAGGUUCAAGGUCAAGGUCACACUUAGGGGUUUAAGGUCAUAUAAGUGUGUUUAGUGUCCGCUCUGUAACUCUUGAACUGCUUAGAGGAUUCCAAAGAAACUUGGCACAAAUGUUCACCACACUGAGGUGACAUGCAGAGGGCAUGUUUUAGAUGACUCGCUUCAAGGUCAAGGUCACACUUGGGGGUCAAAUGUCAUAUAUGACUUUGCUUUGUGUAUAUUGCUCUGCAUUGCAGUGCUCUUGUUUUUAUUUGGCAGAUCCCUUUUUUGUUCUCUUACAAUAAUUUUUUUGUAUUACUUCCCUUUUUUGUUACUAUAAAUAGCUUAUUUUGAAACUUUUUUAUUAUUUGCCAUAGGGAAAAACCGAGACCACUUUUCUGUGGUACAACAUGGAUGGUACCUCCAAUUUUUAGGUGUAUUUUGACAUAACUUUACCUGGUAAGAAUUUUUUUGUGGACUUGGAAUUUUUUUCUGGAUUUUCUUCUUUUUUUUUGUUCCUGUCCUUUGGGCUUCAACAGUCAAGUUCUUUAAAUUUUGCGCCCAUCCUCUGAUGUAACCCUUCGGGUGUAUAUUGCCCCGCUUGGCGGCGCUCUUAUAUUCAUUGCAAUGCAGGUAACCCUGUGAUUUGUUUUUACAGAGUAAAUACCUCUUACUGUCCGUCAGUCUCCAAUUUCUCAAUACAGUGUAACAAGGUAUUUUUCUUCUUUACAGUGGUGACCUCAUUCUGUUGACUAGGUGACUUUCAAUGAUUUUUUUGUUGAGCUAUUGCCCUUUUUCGACCUUGAAUUUUCAGUUGUUUUUUUUUUUUUCAAUCCAAUUACCCAAUAUCUUAUCAUAGGUAUUGACAUGAUACUAGACAUAAUUUAUUGUGAUGACCCAAUUUGUUAGACAAGAGGAGGUAACUCUAUCAAGGAUCAUUUUCUAAGAAUUAUUGCCCUUUUUAUAUGCCCGUUUGAAAAAUUGGACGUAUUAUGGGAACGCCCCUCUUCUUCAUGCAUGGAGGGAUUUCGAUGAAACUUGGCACAAUUGCUCGCCAUCAUGAGAGGGAGUGUCAGGCGCAAAAACCAGGUCCCUAGGUCUAAGGUCAAGGUCACAAUUAGAGGUCAAAGGAUACAAGAAUGAAAACUGUUCGGAGCAUUUCUUCUUCAUGCAUGGAGGGGUUUUGAUAUUACUUGGCACAAAUGUUAACCACCGGAAGACGGAGUGUCAUGCGCAAGAACCAGGUCCCUAGGUCUAAGGUCAAGGUCACAGAGGCUAAAGUUCAGAUACAAGAAUAACUGUCCAAAGCAUUUCUUCUUCAUGCAUAGAGGGAUUUUGAUGUAACUUGGCACAAUUGUACACCAUCAUGAGACGGAGUGUUAUGCGCAGGUCCCUUCUUUAGAAUUACUUCCCUUUGUUGUUACUAUAAAUAGCUUAUAUUGCAACUUUUUCGUUACUAGUCGUAGGGAAAAAUCGAGAUCACUUUUCUGUAAUGCAACAUGCAUGAUACAUCCAAUUCUGAGAUGUAUUUUGACCUGUCUCUACCUGGUAAGAUUUUUGUGUGGACUUGCAACUUUUUUUGGGGGGGGGGGGGUUUAAAGAUUAACUUCCCUUAGUUGUUACUAUAAAUAACUUACAUUGUAACUUUUUUAUAAUUGACCAUAAUUAUGGAAAAACCAAGACCACUUUUAUGUGGUAUACAACAUAGAUGUUUUUUUCAAUCAGUAACUUGAGAACCACUUUACCCAGAAUGUUAAAACUUAAUAGGAUGAUUGCACAUGCAGAGUUUAUGACCCCUAUUUAUUUUGGGGGUCACUGGACCUGAACAGAACAUGAUAAACAAUUUCCAUUACAUAACUUUUAAAAGAACCACUAGGCCCAGAAUUUUGAAACUUAGUCGGAUGAUUGGACAUGCCAAGUAGAUGAUCCCUUUUGCAGCCAACUAUCAUUGUCUUUUUGACUUUUGCUCCUUUCCCCUAUUGACUUCUUGCCUAUACGACUAUGCAUUUGGGGAGACAUGCAUUUUUAUUCAAAAUCAUCUUCUAGUUCACCUUUGCUGAACUUGCCGCUCAUGAAGUCCGUAUUUACCUUGUUCCUGUGGGCAUUGUAUUAGAUUUUGUUAUCGUUAAACUACAUAAGCUUUUUUGUAUUUAAUUAAAUUGAAUUAUCGUUAUCGUUAAACUACAUAAUCUUUUUAUAAUUUUGGACUUGAAUUAUCGUUAUUGUUAAACUACAUAAGUUUUUUGUAUUUGAUGGAUUUAAAUAAUUGUUACGUAUGCUUUAAACUGUAUUGUAUUAUCAAGGGGUGCAGUAUUCCCAUAUACUGCUUAAGGGAUUACUUUCGUUGUUUCUGAACUUAACGAAUAUUUUAGUAAAUUUUAUAAUUAGAUCUUGAAUUAAAAUAUGUAAUUGAAA